rnacentral:rRNA from 1 species
GCUUUCCUACGGGACGCAGCAGUUAGGAAUAUUCGUCAAUGGGGGAAACCCUGAACGAGCAAUGCCGCGUGAGGGAAGAAGGUUUUCGGAUUGUAAACCUCUGUCUUAAGGGACGAUAAUGACGGUACCUUAGGAGGAAGCUCCGGCUAACUACGUGCCAGCAGCCGCGGUAAUACGUAGGGAGCGAGCGUUGUCCGGAAUUACUGGGUGUAAAGGGAGUGUAGGCGGGAUGGUAAGUUAGGUGUGAAAU